rnacentral:lncRNA from 1 species
GCCAUUUCGCGGCGCGGGCGGGGCGGGGCGAGGAGGGCGGCGGCGGGGCCGCUGCCCGGGCAGGGGAGGGAAGCGCUGCGUUCGGUCACCGUGUGUUCGGUCACCGUGGUGUGACCCGGCUCCGUGUCAGUCUGGCGGCCGCGCCCAAUUUUAGCUUCCCGGCAGCGCAGCAUCCCUUGGGCGUUUUUCCUUCUCCUUCUCCUUUCCACCCGCCCUGUCCCGCUGUUCGGUACCCGCCGUGCGCAGCCCGACCGGACCCCCUUGUUCUCGCAGAACUGCUCUGAAAAUGGGAGUCCCUGCCUUGUUUUUCCUCCAAAGCCGUGCCCUUAAUUUGCCUUGGAGAUUCAGCAGAUUCUGCUUGCUCACGGUGAUGCUCCGCUUGCUGCUCAAAUUUCUUUGUAUAACUCAGCUGGCUCAUAAGUUUCAUACCAGGCACUGAUACAGAGGAAGAAGAGAUGGCCUGUUGUAAGUUGGGAGAGCCUUGCCUGUUUUUUAUAAUGAAUAAAUAAGGCCUAUUUCUUAUCCCA